AGUGAACGCUGGCGGUAGGCCUAACACAUGCAAGUCGAACGGCAGCACAGUAAUAGCUUGCUGUUACGGGUGGGGAGUGGCGGACGGGUGAGGGAAACAUCGGAAUCUACUUUUUCGUAGGGGAUAAAGUAGGGAAACUUACGCUAAUACCGCAGACGAACUACGGGUGAGAGCAGGGGAUCUUCGGACCUUGCGCGAGUGAAUGAGGCGAGGUCGGAUUAGCUAGGUGGCGGGGUAAAGGCCCACCAAGGCGACGAUCCGUAGCUGGUCUGAGAGGAUGAUCAGCCACACUGGAACUGAGACACGGUCCAGACUCCUACGGGAGGCAGCAGUGGGGAAUAUUGGACAAGGGGCGCAAGCCUGAUCCAGCCAUGCCGCGUGUGUGAAGAAGGUCUUCGGAUUGUAAAGCACUUUAAGUGGGGAGGAAGGGCAGUAAGUUAAUACCUUGCUGUUUUGACGUUACCAAAAGAAUAAGCACCGGCUAACUUCGUG
rnacentral:rRNA from 1 species